UGGCCUACGGGACGCAGCAGUGAGGAAUAUUGGGCAAUGGAGGCAACUCUGACCCAGCCAUGCCGCGUGAGUGAAGAAGGUUUUCGGAUUGUAAAGCUCUUUCGGAUGUGACGAUGAUGACGGUAGCAUCUAAAGAAGCCCCGGCUAACUUCGUGCCAGCAGCCGCGGUAAUACAUAGGGAGCAAGCGUUAUUCGGAUUUAUUGGGUGUAAAGGGUGCGUAGACGGGAAAUUAAGUUAGUUGUGAAAUCCCUCGGCUUAA
rnacentral:rRNA from 1 species